AAUCAACGCUGGCGGCGUGCCUCAGACAUGCAAGUCGAACGAUUAAAGCUCUCUUCGGAGAGUGUAUAGGGUGGCGCACGGGUGAGUAACACGUAAGUAAUCUACCUUUGAGUGGGGAAUAACAGUCGGAAACGGCUGCUAAUACCGCAUAACGCAGCGGCACCGCAAGGUGACAGUUGUUAAAGGAGCAAUCCGCUUAAAGAGGAGCUUGCGGCAGAUUAGCUGUUGGUAAGGUAACGGCUUACCAAGGCUACGAUCUGUAUCCGGUCUAAGAGGACGGUCGGACACACUGACACUGAAUAACGGGUCAGACUCCUACGGGAGGCAGCAGUCGGGAAUUUUGGGCAAUGGGCGAAAGCCUGACCCAGCAACGCCGCGUGAAGGAUGAAGUAUUUCGGUAUGUAAACUU
rnacentral:rRNA from 1 species